rnacentral:rRNA from 1 species
UACGGAGGGUGCAAGCGUUAUCCGGAUUCACUGGGUUUAAAGGGUGCGUAGGCGGCGCGGUAAGUCGGGUGUGAAAUCUCGGAGCUUAACUCCGAAACUGCAUUCGAUACUGCCGUGCUUGAGGACUGGAGAGGAGACUGGAAUUUACGGUGUAGCGGUGAAAUGCGUAGAUAUCGUAAGGAAGACCAGUGGCGAAGGCGGGUCUCUGGACAGUUCCUGACGCUGAGGCACGAAGGUCAGGGGGAGCAAACGGG